rnacentral:rRNA from 1 species
UGGGGAAUAUUGGACAAUGGGGCAACCCUGAUCCAGCCAUGCCGCGUGAGUGAUGAAGGCCCUAGGGUUGUAAAGCUCUUUUGUGCGGGAAGAUAAUGACGGUACCGCAAGAAUAAGCCCCGGCUAACUUCGUGCCAGCAGCCGCGGUAAUACGAAGGGGGCUAGCGUUGCUCGGAAUCACUGGGCGUAAAGGGUGCGUAGGCGGGUUUCUAAGUCAGAGGUGAAAGCCUGGAGCUCAACUCCAGAACUGCCUUUGAUACUGGAAGUCUUGAGUAUGGCAGAGGUGAGUGGAACUGCGAGUGUAGAGGUGAAAUUCGUAGAUAUUCGCAAGAACACCAGUGGCGAAGGCGGCUCACUGGGCCAUUACUGACGCUGAGGCACGAAAGCGUGGGGAGCAAAACAGGAUUAGAUACCCUGGUAGUCCACGCCGUAAACGAUGAAUGCCAGCCGUUAGUGGGUUUUACUCACUAGUGGCGCAGCUAACGCUUUUAAGCAUUCCGCCUGGGGAGUACGGUCNCAAGAUUAAAAACUCAAAGGAAUUGACGGGGUCAUAGCUGUUUCCU